rnacentral:misc_RNA from 1 species
AGUUGAUCACGAUUAAGAAUUAAUGAAUUUAAAUUACACAAGAUCUGCUCAGUGUACAUUAGGUCCCAUGAUAUUGUGGACAUGUGUGGACACAGCACACCAGAUUAGUGGUUGGCAUUUUUGAGGUAGUAAGGAAUUCAGAACACACCAGGAGUAUUUGGAGAUAGAUUAUCAGAACAGAAGUUAUAUUUAAUAUGGUAAGAGAUUUAACUAAGCAAACAAUCAAACAAGUAGCUGUAUAUCUCAAAACUAGGACAUAGCAUAGAAAUAAAAGCACAAAAUCACAA